rnacentral:rRNA from 1 species
UACGUAGGGGGCUAGCGUUGUCCGGAAUCAUUGGGCGUAACGCGCGUGUAGGCGGUCCGGUAAGUCCGCUGUGAAAGUCGGGGGCUCAACCCUCGGAUGCCGGUGGAUACUGUCGGGCUUGAGUACGGAAGAGGCGAGUGGAAUUCCUGGUGUAGCGGUGAAAUGCGCAGAUAUCAGGAGGAACACCAAUUGCGAAGGCAGCUCGCUGGGACGUUACUGACGCUGAGACGCGAAAGCGUGGGGAGCAAACAGG